CACGCCGUAAACGAUGAGUACUAGGUGUAGGAGGUAUCGACCCCUUCUGUGCCGCAGUUAACACAAUAAGUACUCCGCCUGGGAANAGCAACGCGAAGAACCUUACCUAGACUUGACAUCUCCUGAAUUACUCGUAAUGGAGGAAGCCCUUCGGGGCAGGAAGACAGGUGG
rnacentral:rRNA from 1 species